rnacentral:rRNA from 1 species
UACAGAGGUCUCAAGCGUUGUUCGGAUUCAUUGGGCGUAAAGGGUGCGUAGGCGGCGCGGUAAGUCGGGUGUGAAAUCUCGGAGCUUAACUCCGAAACUGCAUUCAAUACUGCGGUGCUCGAGUACUGGAGAGGAGACUGGAAUUCACGGUGUAGCAGUGAAAUGCGUAGAUAUCGUGAGGAAGACCAGUGGCGAAGGCGGGUCUCUGGACAGUUCCUGA